rnacentral:rRNA from 1 species
GAUGAACGCUGGCGGCGUGCCUAAUACAUGCAAGUCGAGCGAACAGACGAGGAGCUUGCUCCUCUGACGUUAGCGGCGGACGGGUGGGUAACACGUGGAUAACCUACCUAUAAGACUGGGAUAACUUCGGGAAACCGGAGCUAAUACCGGAUAAUAUAUUGAACCGCAUGGGUCAAUAGUGAAAUACGGUGUUGCUGUCACUUAUAGAUGGAUCCGCGCCGCAUUAGCUAGUUGGUAAGGUAACGGCUUACCAAGGCAACGAUGCGUAGCCGACGUGAGAGAGUGAUAGGCCACACUGGAACGGAGACACGGUCCAGACUCCUACGGGAGGCAGCAGUAGGGAAUCUUCCGCAAUGGGCGAAAGCCUGACGGAGCAACGCCGCGUGAGUGAUGAAGGUCUUCGGAUCGUAAAAAUCUGUUAUUAGGGAAGAACAAAUGUGUAAGUAACUAUGCACGUCUUGACGGUAACUAAUCAGAAAGCCACGGCUAACUACGUG